GACGAACGCUGGCGGCGUGCUUAACACAUGCAAGUCGAACGGAAAGGCCCUGCUUUUGUGGGGUGCUCGAGUGGCGAACGGGUGAGUAACACGUGAGUAACCUGCCCUUGACUUUGGGAUAACUUCAGGAAACUGGGGCUAAUACCGGAUAGGAGCUCCUGCUGCAUGGUGGGGGUUGGAAAGUUUCGGCGGUUGGGGAUGGACUCGCGGCUUAUCAGCUUGUUGGUGGGGUAGUGGCUUACCAAGGCUUUGACGGGUAGCCGGCCUGAGAGGGUGACCGGCCACAUUGGGACUGAGAUACGGCCCAGACUCCUACGGUCGGCAACAGUGGGGAAUAUUGCACAAUGGGCGGAAGCCUGAUGCAGCAACGCCGCGUGCGGUAUGACGGCCUUCGGGUUGUAAACCGCUUUCGCCUGUGACGAAGCGUGAGUGACGGUAAUGGGUAAAGAAGCACCGGCUAACUACGUG
rnacentral:rRNA from 1 species